GGGUGUAGCUCAGUUAGUUAGGGAGCUUGCCCAAAAUGCACGAUGUCCUGGGUUCAAAUCCCAGCACAUCCU
rnacentral:tRNA from 1 species